rnacentral:rRNA from 1 species
GAUGAACGCUGGCGGUGUGCCAAUACAUGCAAGUCGUACGCAUUCUCGUUUCUGAUUGACGGUGCUUGCACCUAAUUGACGGGACAUUGAAUGAGUGGCGGACGGGUGAGUAGCACGUGGGUAACCUGCCCAGAAGUGGGGGAUACAUUUGGAAACAGAUGCUAUUACCGCAUAAAAGUCAAAACCACAUGGUUUUGAUUUAAAAGAUGGCCUUUGUGCUAUCACUUCUGGAUGGACCCGCGGCGUAUUAGCUAGUUGGUAAGAUAACGGCUUACAAAGGCAAUGAUACGUAGCCGAACUGAGAGGUUGAUCGGCCACAAUGGGACUGAGACACGGCCCAUACUCCUACGGGAGGCAGCAGUAGGGAAUCUUCCACAAUGGGCGCAAGCCUGAUGGAGCAACACCGCGUGAGUGAAGAAGGGUUUCGGCUCGUAAAACUCUGUUGUUAAAGAAGAACGUAUCUAAGAGUAACUGCUUAGGUAGUGACGGUAUUUAACCAGAAAGCCACGGCUAACUACGUGCCAGCCGCCGCAGUAA